rnacentral:rRNA from 1 species
UACGUAGGUGGCAAGCGUUGUCCGGAUUUACUGGGCGUAAAGGAUGCGUAGGCGGACAUUUAAGUCAGAUGUGAAAUACCCGAGCUUAACUUGGGUGCUGCAUUUGAAACUGGGUGUCUAGAGUGCAGGAGAGGUAAGUGGAAUUCCUAGUGUAGCGGUGAAAUGCGUAGAGAAUCGGAAAGAACACCAACGGCGAAAAGGCACUCUGCUGGGCCGACACUGACACUGAGAGACGAAAGCUAGGGGAGCGAAUGGG